CGUGUAGGCGGGGAUAUAAGUCAGAUGUGAAAUACCGAGGCUUAACUUCGGGGCUGCAUCUGAAACUAUGUUUCUUGAGUGUCGGAGAGGAAAGUGGAAUUCCCAGUGUAGCGGUGAAAUGCGUAGAUAUUGGGAGGAACACCAGUGGCGAAGGCGACUUUCUGGACGAUAACUGACGCUGAGGCGCGAAAGCGUGGGGAGCAAACAGGAUUAGAUACCCUGGUAGUCCACGCUGUAAACGAUGGAUACUAGGUGUAGGAGGUAUCGACCCCUUCUGUGCCGGAGUUAACACAAUAAGUAUCCCACCUGGGGAGUACGGCCGCAAGGUUGAA
rnacentral:rRNA from 1 species